UACGUAGGGACCAAGCGUUGUUCGGAUUUACUGGGCGUAAAGGGCGCGUAGGCGGCCUUCUAAGUCAGACGUGAAAUCCCCAGGCUUAACUUGGGAACUGCGUCUGAUACUGGAUGGCUUGAAUCCGGGAGAGGGAUGCAGAAUUCCAGGUGUAGCGGUGAAAUGCGUAGAUAUCUGGAGGAAUACCGGUGGCGAAGGCGGCAUCCUGGACCGGCAUUGACGCUGAGGAGCGAAAGCUAGGGGAGCAAACGGG
rnacentral:rRNA from 1 species